AUAAACAGAGGGAUCACAUUGUGUUGUACCUGUAGCUUAGUGUAUUCUACGUUGAUUACGAAGGAAGAAGCUAUGGCUGCCUGUUCGAGGCGAGGCAAUUCUCUCGUCGUGCUAGCGAUCGUUUUAUUAGGCUGUCUUUCUGCACUUUCCAAUGCAAAGGAGGAGGCUACAAAACUUGGUACCGUUAUAGGAAUUGAUCUUGGGACAACCUAUUCCUGUGUUGGGGUGUACAAGAAUGGUCAUGUGGAGAUUAUAGCUAAUGACCAAGGAAACAG
rnacentral:misc_RNA from 1 species